UAAGAGUGUAGCAGCCAUCCAUGCAACUGUCUUCAGCUGUCUUCGUAGGCGUGAAGUUGGGGAACACUUAUAUGAUCCUGCUAGAAAUAUUGCAACAGUUGUAUAUGAGGAAUAUAGAAAUCAAUGUGCAGCUAAUUCUUUGAGUUCAAAAGGAAUGUUUCAAUUGAUUCGGAGAAAAGAUUCUUCAAGGAAUCUGAUGGCUCUUGUUAAUAAUGAUGGGUCCGUGGCAAAGGCUUGGCCUGUUGAUAGUAACGGAAAGCCUACAUUUGGCAACGGAUUGGGUAAUGGAAUUGGAUGUCCAAUGUAUGGCCCCUUACAGAUUGGUAAGUCAGAACCUGUAAAUCUCCAGUUCGGUUAUUAUGGGAUCAGUGCUUGGCCCAGUGAUGGUGGCACUAGCCGUGCUGGAAGUGUUGACGAGUCUAGAGCUGAUUGGACUGAUACUGGUAGUAGAUAUCUAUCCUCUUGCUGUAGCUCACCAAGACUAUCAGAUGGCCCUGCGAAGGAGGUAAGCCUAAUCAUUUUUUGUUACUUAUUUCUUUUCAACAUGAAAAUUAAUGGCUUGUUAAUGUCAUUGAUGAUUUCUUUUAAGCUCAGUGCCUGGCAGUGAUGAAGAGAUGGGUAAAAAAUAUGAAAACUUCUGUCAUUUGCUGAUUUAUUUAUUUUUUGGGGGUAUGUUUUAAAGGUCAAGGAAGAUGUCUCAGUCCAUGGUAGUGAUGAAGAGCUUGAUGACCCUUUAGAAGAGUUGGGCAGUGAUGAGGAUUUCAGUGACGAUGAUGACAAACAUGUCCAUGAUGAGGUAAACUUAGUGAUGAAAUUUGCCAUGGGAAAAAGUUCAUUUUGGGUCAUUUUAAACAUUUUUCAUUGCUUUACAGGUAGGGUCAGUUGAUGAGGAAUCUACCAAGUCUGAUGAAGAAUACGAUGAUCUUGCAAUGGAAGAUGUGCAGGAAAAUGGGUAUUGGUCAGAUGAAGAGUUUAAGAGUAAGCUUUCUGCAGUUGCUGAGGAACUACGAUCUAAAAUGCAUGACAAUAUGUAUAGUCAGAACCUUGAUCGAUUCCUUAGAAGCAGAAGCGAGCCAAUGGCAGCACUGGUGCAAGAAACCCAGUUCUGUUAUUCUCCUAUGAUUGUGGAAAAGAGUGAAAGGAAACUUCCACCAGCUGAUAAAUACAAGUUAAGAAAACGCUCUCUUAGCAUUCCUGCCUUGGGAAGGCAUAGUUCAGCAAUCAAUGAUCCCAUUCUUUCUGGUGCACCUCAAAGAUAGCACACUGUGCUUUAAUCUUGAGUCUUAAACAACCAACCCUUUUUUCAUUUUUUAGCCAAUGUGAAUACUAAAGCUUCCAAAAUUUUCAUCCUUUUUUACUAUAGUUGCUUCAUGGUUCUAAGAUGGAAACGUUCAAAUAUGUCGGAUCAGUUAAUGUUCUGUGACAUUUUCUAAUGAUGUACAUAGGAUGGAAUUGGCAGAAUCGGAUUUGUAUGCUGCAAGAUCCUGUACUCUUGUUCCUUGUUAUGGUUUUGUCUUGGAAAUGUGAGUUCUUUUUUUUCAUUUCAUUUAUGUUGUUUUAUACUCUACAUAGGGAUGAUGUUAGGGGUUGGUGCAGUUGGGUUUUUGUAUUCCAAGUUUUGGUCCAUUUUCUGGCUACGGAAUUGGUUUCUUACAUGGAUAUAGCAAGUCCUGCAGAAUCUUUCUUAAUAUCCUCUAAUAAAUCUUACUCUGAAUCUAUUUUUUGAGUAUCAAAUCAAGAUUCAAUUCUUUUUUCUAAACAAGGUAAUAUUAGUUAUCCAUUGAUUUGGCAGACGCAUGAUGUGUGAAUUCUACCUCACACGUUCAUAUAUUUGGUUCUUCAUUGAGUUUUUAUUUGCUUAUAGCAACUCACUCAAUCUUUUUAUAUUGAACUAUAGGUUUUUAAAUACGACCAUGCAUGUAUUCAUAAUAAUGAACAUAUAUGUUUAAAAACGAAGCUUACUACGUAAGUGAAUCCUAAUAUAGAAUGAAUUUAUGCGGAUGGAGAAAAAAGUUAAGAGUAUAAAAAAUGGGUAUUGUGGUCCACAGGCUUAACCAUUUUUGCUUAAGAAUAAUACUACACUGAUGUCUAAGAGAAAAUUCCAAUCUCAUUAGAUCAAAGUCAUCUACCACUUCAAGCCUUUGAUAAUCCUGGCCUGAACCCUUCUCUUCAAAGGACAAAGCAUCUUCUUUCACUUUCAAAAAAUCCAACCACCAUAUAUUAAGCAUCUUGAACAACAUUAUGGAACCCUUAAUGUGUACCUUUUAGAAUUAGAUGAGUGAAGUAUCUUUUAUUAAAACAUUAAGGGCUGGUAUUCUUUUAUAAAAACAUUAAGGGCUCAUUUGAUGGUUGGUAUACGAUAAAAACAUGAUAGGAUAAAGAGUUUGACAUAAUAAUAUGAACAAUGAUGAUAAUGAUAGUAGUGUUCGAGGCGUGAGGGUACGAAGGGAAACUAUAUUAUCUUAUCAUGCUAUUGCUCUACACAAAUGUUGCACAAUAAUUUUGUCAUUGUGAAACUUAGCCCUUCAUUACUAUUUUAACAAGAGAAAAUAAGUAUACGUUGAUGGUGUAUGAGUUUUAUAUACUGUCAUUGUAUUAUUCAUCAUUUAUAUUUAAUAAACUAGUACCGAUGUAAAGAGUGUACCUUUUAACUGAUGUGUUUAUCCAUCCAGCAAACUAGGACUGUCUCAUUUAACUUUGUUGUAACAAAAAAGUGAGUGCCAGUAAGAGAUUAAGCUGGAACCUGGAAGCAUAUCCAUAAUUGAACAUUGACUUAAUAAAAAAAGAACUAACCAAAAUGGAAAGAAUCACAAAGGCACUAAAAACAAUGGAUUAUGUUCAAUAAUUUGCAGUACAACAUCACAUUGAUACAAUACUAGAGUUAUAAGUUUGAGUUGAAAUUACACGAACUACUUAGAGAAAUGGCACCAUCAUCAAAUCAUACAAUAAUAAUAAUCUACCUUUAACAAGUGAGAUAGCUAGAAAUGUUGUGACAAUGAAUUGGCAGAUGAACCACCAAAUAUAAAAGCCACACUUGAUAUAUAUGAAGUAGUUAUCCAUAAAUAAAAAAUACCCUUUCACCCCACACCAGAAUUAACUACCAGAUUUAUGAAGAUUCAGUUACCAUAUCAAUCAGCAACUAUAACAAAGAUACAUUGAUGAUUCACUCACAUGAAACUAACUAUUUCAUUGCUCUUUAUUCAUGAAAACAAUAAUAAUAAGAAAAUAUAUUACUCUGAGAGAAGCAGGGAAGUGAUGUAGGGUGGUUCUGCACAACAACAUCAUUCAGAUAACUGUGUCUUGUUCUGUCCACUCUCUCUGUCCCAUUAUCCCUUCACUGUUUGGUUUUCAAGUUAGAAAUUUAUUAUUGUUUGUGGCAAAAUAUAAUGAGUUAUA
rnacentral:lncRNA from 1 species